rnacentral:lncRNA from 1 species
AAAAAGCCAACACGUGGAGGUGUUUGAAUCCCUGAAAGCAAGAGUGUAUGUGUUUAUUUAAAUGUUGAGAUGAAUUGAAAACUUACACUCCAAAUCCAAUAACACAAAUACCACAUACUUCAGCUCCGAACCUCAUUAUCAAUCUAACCUUUUAGAUCCUAUCAAUGAAAACUCUUCACAUAGCUUAUACACUACAGACUUAACAGAUUGUUUCCCUGGCGUAGAUCCACAACAAGCUUUGUGUUUCUUUUUUGAACCAAACAGGCAGACCUUGUUUCGAGGAAUCUUCCUGAUAGAACGAGAAGCAAGAACAACAAACCAAAAAUGUCAAAUGAUAGCAUAGUAUUAGAACAAUGUUUGUGAAUGCGAACAACAUAUUGAUUUUGGAUCACCUAACCAACUCAAAGGCAAUUAAAACACCAACAAAUCACAAUACAAGAAGAAAAAUAUAAAGAAAACCUUGUAAUUUUGUUGUAAUAUGAUUUUAUCAUUGGUUUUUCUGGAGCUAUUAUUUGAUUCAUCAUUAGUGUUUUCCUCUACAAUGUUUUCUUUGUGCAUUUUACGAUUCUCAUUUACAUGUUAUGUGCUUUUUCAAUUACCAAUAUCAAGAUGUAGAAAAUUACUACUAGAGACUACAACUUACUUAUUCAACAUGAAUUGAAGACUAGUUAUGCAACUUACUGAAUAUAGCUGGCUAUCACAACAAACCAGGGAGCCACCCAAUAUCGGCCUUGAAGAAUCUGACACUUUGAAAUGACAGUGUCGUAGAUUUGAGAAGAAGAGUUAUAGGUGAAGUCAACUACGGAGUCUGAUAAUCCGGUGUAAUACCCAUAGUUUUAAAUUCUAAUUUAUGUAUUUUGGUAUUAAA